AUUGAACGCUGGCGGCAUGCCUUACACAUGCAAGUCGAACGGCAGCACGGGUGCUUGCACCUGGUGGCGCGUGGCGAACGGGUGAGUAAUACAUCGGAACAUGUCCUGUAGUGGGGGAUAGCCCGGCGAAAGCCGGAUUAAUACCGCAUACGAUCUACGGAUGAAAGCGGGGGACCUUCGGGCCUCGCGCUAUAGGGUUGGCCGAUAGCUGAUUAGCUAGUUGGUGGGGUAAAGGCCUACCAAGGCGACGAUCAGUAGCUGGUCUGAGAGGACGACCAGCCACACUGGGACUGAGACACGGCCCAGACUCCUACGGGAGGCAGCAGUGGGGAAUUUUGGACAAUGGGCGAAAGCCUGAUCCAGCAAUGCCGCGUGUGUGAAGAAGGCCUUCGGGUUGUAAAGCACUUUUGUCCGGAAAGAAAUCCUUGGCUCUAAUACGGUCGGGGGAUGACGGUACCGGAAGAAUAAGCACCGGCUAACUACGUG
rnacentral:rRNA from 1 species